UACGUAGGGGGCAAGCGUUGUCCGGAAUCAUUGGGAGUAAAGGGCGUGUAGGCGGUCCGGUCAGUCGGUUGUGAAAGUCAAGGGCUCAACCCUUGAAUGCCGGCCGAUACUGCUGUGGCUAGAGUCCGGUAGGGGAGCGUGGAAUUCCUGGUGUAGCGGUGAAAUGCGCAGAUAUCAGGAGGAACACCAGCGGCGAAGGCGGCGCUCUGGGCCGGUACUGACGCUGAGGAGCGAAAGCGUGGGGAGCAAACAGG
rnacentral:rRNA from 1 species